AUACAGAGGGUGCAAGCGUUAAGCGGAAUUACUGGGCGUAAAGCGCGCGUAGGCGGUUUGAUUAGUCAGAUGUGAAAGCCCUGGGCUUAACCUGGGAACUGCAUUUGAUACUGUCAGGCUAGAGUAUGGUAGAGGGUAGUAGAAUUCCUGGUGUAGCGGUGAAAUGCGUAGAUAUCAGGAGGAAUACCAGUGGCGAAGGCGGCUACCUGGACCAAUACUGACGCUGAGGUGCGAAAGCGUGGGGAGCAAACAGGAUUAGAAACCCCAGUAGUCC
rnacentral:rRNA from 1 species